rnacentral:ncRNA from 2 species
UACCUUUGCAAGCGAAUUGGUUUCGGACAGUCGUAUCGAUUGUCCGGAUUAAAAGGGAAUCGGGUGAAAAUCCCGGACAGUCCCGCUGCUGUGAAGCUCCAGCCAACUUUCCGAUAAGGACUUUUAGCCACUGGCAGAUUAUAGAAACGCUGCCGGGAAGGCAUCGGGAAGGGAGUCAGUCAGAAGACCUGCCAUUUCAUACUCAAAGGC